CAGCUCCAGACCCGCUUCCGGCAGUCGCGUCACCACGCCCCGCCCCUAAGCCCGCGCAGCCUCAGUUGCGCGCCAAGAGCCCUCCUGGGGUCUGAGUCUGAGAAAGGGAAUGGUCAGACCCAUCUCUUGAAUGCAUAUGUUGAAAAGACUACCCUUUCUCCCCUCCAAUUGUGAUGGUGCCUUUGUUGAAAGAGCAGGGAAGAAGAACCCAUCAGGCUAUGAAACUUGUGCCGUGUGCUCAUGAAGGGCCACCAGCUGCCGGAGCCCUACCUGAUGGUGAGUGUGGAUGAGGUGCAUGUGGGCCAGACCAGUGCCAAUGGAGGACCACCAAACCCAUGCGCCCCAAGGAGCUCUGCACUAAUGCCACUGAAGGCGGCCAUCAUCAUGACAUGCCCCUGGGCUAUGACCACUUCAUGUCAACAUGUACCCUGUAAUUCUAUCGCUGACAAACUGAGUUCUUUCCCUACUUUGUAUGGGUUGCAAAUAAAGAAUACCCAAUUGGAAAAACAAAA